GGGGCCUUAGCUCAGCUGGUCAGAGCAGGGGACUCAUAAUCCCUUGGUCGCGGGUUCAAGCCCCGCAGGCCCUAC
rnacentral:tRNA from 1 species